UACGUAGGGGGCGAGCGUUGUCCGGAGUUACUGGGCGUAAAGCGCACGCAGGCGGUCUGCUAAGUUUGGAGUGACAGUUGGUGGCUUAACUGCCAAAGUGCUCCGAAAACUGACAGACUUGAGGGCUUCAGAGGGACACGGAAUUCCGGGUGGAGUGGUGAAAUGCGUAGAGAUCCGGAGGAACACCAAAGGCGAAGGCAGUGUCCUGGGGAGUACCUGACGCUCAGGUGCGAAAGCCAGGGGAGCGAACGGG
rnacentral:rRNA from 1 species